UUCGUAGGCGGUGUGGCAAGUUGGGAGUGAAAUCUCUGGGCUCAACCCAGAGGCUGCUUCCAAAACUGCCAUGCUUGAGUGUGGGAGAGGCGCGUGGAAUUGCAGGUGUAGCGGUGAAAUGCGUAGAUAUCUGCAGGAACACCCGUGGCGAAAGCGGCGCGCUGGACCACUACUGACGCUGAGGAACAAAGCUAGGGAGCAAACA
rnacentral:rRNA from 1 species